GCACAAGCGGUGGAGCAUGUGGUUUAAUUCGAAGCAACGCGAAGAACCUUACCAGGUCUUGACAUCCCCUGACAACCCGAGAGAUCGGGCGUUCCCCUUCGGGGGACAGGGUGACAGGUGGUGCAUGGUUGUCGUCAGCUCGUGUCGUGAGAUGUUGGGUUAAGUCCCGCAACGAGCGCAACCCUCGACCUUAGUUGCCAGCAUUCAGUUGGGCACUCUAAAGAGACUGCCGGUGUCAAACCGGAGGAAGGUGGGGAUGACGUCAAGUCCUCAUGGCCUUUAUGACCAGGGCUACACACGUACUACAAUGGCCGGUACAAAGGGCAGCGACACAGCGAUGUGAAGCCAAUCCCGAAAAGCCGGUCUCAGUCCGGAUUGGAGUCUGCAACUCGACUCCAUGAAGUUGGAAUCGCUAGUAAUCGCGGAUCAGCCACACCGCGGUGAAUACGUACUCGGGGCUU
rnacentral:rRNA from 1 species